rnacentral:rRNA from 1 species
UAUUUUGUACAUGCCUACAUCAUCAAUGCACCAGAUCCCAUCAGAACUCUAAAAUUAGGCAUGAUUGGGCUAGAGUAGUACUGCGAUAGGUGAACUCUCAAGAAGUCCUAGUGUUUUACAUGC